AAAAGGCUGUCCUAAAUAUGUCAAGUAAUAUAGUCUUGUUAUGCAUUACCUUGCUUGGUUACUAACAUUGGAAAUAAAUUUUUCCCAUGAUAUAUCUUGUUCUCUUAAUUGAAGUCCUAAAUUACUGCCAUUCACAGGGAGGACAAUAGCUUUAUGCGGUGCAGCAUCAACAACUCGACUGCACGAAGGAAUUAGAGCAAGUUAUAACAGGACUAUCAUCCCUUUUCAUUGGAUAUGAAGUGGGUAACAAGCAACAUUCAGCAAUGUUCAAAACCGAACCUGGCAGCCAUGAUCCGCUGCGCUUUGACUUGUCUGCACUGUCUAGAAUACACUUUGGAGCCUCUUGGAAUGAAACUGAAAGCUCUUUCAGAACAAUUGACCAGUAUGCCUAAUAAGCACCAUGUCAAAAAGAUUAACACUGAGUAAGCAUUAUCUUAAAGUAAAUAAUAUGCAUUGUACCUCAGGUUGCUGAACAGAGAACUUUCGGAAGAGGCUAAAACUUGUUAUGGGAUCCUUAUACAAAGGCCCUAAAA